GAUGAACGCUAGCGGCAGGCUUAAUACAUGCAAGUCGUGGGGCAGCAUGAGUAGCAAUACUUGAUGGCGACCGGCAAACGGGUGCGGAACACGUACACAACCUUCCGAUUAGUGGGGAAUAGCCCAGAGAAAUUUGGAUUAAUACCCCGUAACAUAUAGAGUAGGCAUCUUCUUUAUAUUAUAGCUUCGGCGCUUAUUGAUGGGUGUGCGUCUGAUUAGGUAGUUGGCGGGGUAACGGCCCACCAAGCCUACGAUCAGUAGCUGAUGUGAGAGCAUUAUCAGCCACACGGGCACUGAGACCCGGGCCCGACUCCUACGGGAGGCAGCAGUAAGGAAUAUUGGACAAUGGGCGAAAGCCUGAUCCAGCCAUGCCGCGUGAAGGAUUAAGGUCCUCUGGAUUGUAAACUUCUUUUAUUUGGGACGAAAAAAGGGAAUUCUUUCCCGCUUGACGGUACCAAGUGAAUAAGCACCGGCUAACUCCGUGCCAGCCGCCGCGGUAA
rnacentral:rRNA from 1 species